AGCUAAUGGCUGGACCAGGGUCAUUGUUGAGAAACCCUUUGGCCGAGAUUCAGAAUCCUCGGCUGCUUUAACAAAAUCGCUGAAGCAAUACCUAGAUGAAGAACAAAUAUUUAGGAUAGACCAUUAUUUAGGAAAAGAGCUGGUGGAAAACCUAUCUGUUCUCCGCUUCUCCAAUCUCAUUUUUGAACCAUUGUGGUCAAGGCAGUAUAUAAGGAAUGUACAGUUAAUAUUCUCUGAAGAUUUUGGCACUGAAGGACGUGGGGGGUACUUUGACCAUUAUGGGAUAAUAAGAGAUAUAAUGCAGAACCAUCUGCUUCAAAUACUUGCCCUUUUUGCCAUGGAAACACCUGUCAGUUUGGAUGCAGAAGAUAUCAGAAAUGAAAAGGUCAAAGUUCUACGAUCGAUGAGGCCUAUACGACUUGAAGAUGUGGUCAUUGGGCAGUACAAGAGUCACAUAAAAGGAGGAAUUACUUACCCAGCCUACACUGAUGACAAGACAGUGCCAAAAGACAGCUUAACUCCGACAUUUGCAGCAGCUGCGCUUUUCAUUGACAAUGCAAGAUGGGAUGGAGUGCCUUUCCUUAUGAAGGCUGGCAAAGCAUUACAUAAUAAGAGGGCAGAAAUUCGUGUACAGUUCAGGCAUGUGCCUGGUAACUUGUAUAAUCGGAACUUUGGAACAGAUCUUGAUCGAGGUACAAAUGAGCUUGUAAUCCGAGUACAACCAGAUGAAGCUAUUUAUUUGAAGAUUAAUAACAAGGUCCCUGGCUUGGGAAUGCGAUUGGACCAUAGCAAUUUAAAUCUUCACUAUGCUGCAAGAUAUUCUAAGGAGAUUCCAGACGCAUACGAGAGGCUCUUGCUAGAUGCCAUUGAAGGGGAAAGAAGGUUAUUUAUCAGAAGUGAUGAACUGGAUGCCGCUUGGUCACUGUUUACUCCUGUUCUGAAGGAGCUUGAAGAGAAAAAGAUUAUUCCUGAGUACUAUCCAUAUGGUAGUCGGGGACCUGUUGGGGCUCACUAUCUUGCAGCAAGAUACAACGUCAGAUGGGGAGACCUUGGCAUAGAACAGUAAAUCUGGGAAUGUUGUUUAACCCUUGCCAUUGAAGUAGGAUAGGGAGAGCAGAGAGCUUCAUUUCAUAUAUGUUUUAUUAGGACUAUUAGAUAGCGAACUCCCAUAUAAGAACUCCAUGGGAGAUCGACAGCAUGCCUUGGUGUAAACAAGUGGAAUGUAUCAAGGAACACAGGGAUUUUCCUUUUUUUUUUUUUUUUACCAUCAACCACAAGAGUGUAUUGUAACUCAAAA
rnacentral:misc_RNA from 1 species